rnacentral:piRNA from 1 species
UAGGAAAGACUGCGGAGAAUUAUUUAAGC